CAGCUGAGCUGAGACUUUUGAAGACCUUUCAAGGCAUUAUCCCUUCCAGGAUAUCUACAGGGAAACAUUACUGAGAACUGACGUCAAAUACAUCAAUCCAUUUGAUGCUCAAUUGCAAGCAUGGUGCAAGUACUACUCUAAAUAAUACAAGCAGAACUCCACUAAUACAUAGUCUAGCUGCCUCUACUUUAAAAAAAAAAAAGGGAUGUAGUAUAGUUUCUCAGUGAUGCCUUAUGGAGCCCUAGUUUUAAAACCCUUCAAAGCAAUAGCUGUAUGAAAAGUACUAGAUGUGGCGGUAGCACUUGAGACAGAGAACAGGAAGUCUUGUGCAAACAUGGAGCACUUGAGAUAGAGAACAGCCAUCAGGAAAGACAUAGACCCACCUCUGACCAUGGCUGAUGGGUGAAUCCCUUGAGAGGGCUUCUUAGUAGUGUUACAAUACAUUCACCAAGCUGGCGAGAGAAGAAUGAAAGGAAAGAGGUGAGUCUUUUAGGAGUGCAUCAUACCCCACAUAUAUAUGUUUGGCUAUGGUACCAAAAGCAGUCUUGGAUGCAACAGGAUCCAUGUCAAAACACCUGUACCAUUCUUCACAGAAAUGGAUAAAACAAUCAUAAAUUCAUUCACAGAGGAGCAUAAAGGACCCCAAGUAGACAAAACAACCCCAAGUAAAAAGAAUAAUACUGACAGUAUCAGCAUUGCUUCCUUCAAGCUAUACAACAGAGCCAUGGUGAGGAAAACAGCAUGGUACUGACACAAGGCAGACAUGUAAACCCACGGAAGAGAACAGGAGACCCAGACACAAAACAAUGAAGCCACAUCACUUCAUUUCGACGACGGUGUAAAAUACUCACGGUGGUGGGGCAGUCUUUUUGAACAAAAAAAAAAUACUGGGGAAAGUCACAUGCAGGAGAAUCAAAUUAUUGUCAAAAAAUUCUCACUCACCUCACUCAAAACCCAGUGCCAAGUGGUUCAAAGUCAUUAACGUAAGACUCAAAAACUCUGAAACCAGUGGAAGGAAAGUAGAGAAGACACUGAAAAACACAGGUGUAGGUGAGCGCCUUCUGCAUAGGACUCAAAUGCUCAGGAACUAAGAUCAGUCAUGAAGAACAAGGCCUCAAAAAAUGUUCCUGAGGUGUAGAAUGUGGCUAUGCUGUAGAGCCAAGGUCUUCAGUUCAACACCCACCCCACCCCACCCCACACACACACCACACCCUU
rnacentral:lncRNA from 1 species